GGAUUAGCUGCAAAAGAAUAUUUAUUAGAAAAAAAAUCCCUUUUAUUCUUCUGUCCUUUUUGUGGAAUUAGCCAUAUAUUGCCUGGAUGAGAUAAGGGCAGCCCUUUGUGAGCGAGGAGCAGAGGUCCGACAUCUGGGUUACUGGCAAUGCCAAGAAAUCACAUCAAGGUGAAUCCCAUGCCAAGCUCUGAAGCAGAGGGUUGUAGACACCUGAGCUGUGCACGGGAGACGCCCUGAAGUUUAACCCAUGAGGACCUCCCGCCAUUUCCUCAGCUGACUGCUUUCUCGGAUCCUUUCAAAGAGGCGUUUCCUAGUGAUGGUCAGACAGCAGAAACCCGUCACAUCCAUGAGCCUAAUGUAAGCUUCAUAAGGAGAGCGCUGGGAGUUUCUCUCGUUUACCACCCAUCGAGUCCCUGGCAGAAAGUAGAUACUCAACAAAUAAGAGCCGAAUGAGAGAAUAAAUGGGGUCACCAGGUUGCCAGUGGAAUCCCUCCCACCUUCUAGCGGCCAGACUGCUGUCUCGGGCUGUAUGGAUACCGUUCUGUGUUCUUAUCGACUGAGGGGAGAACCACAGCUGGGCUGAAGUUCUCCGCGCAGCUCUUGGGACUUUUGAGUUCUCGUGAGGUGAUCACUGGUCUCACUCCUCUUGUUUGAUCUCCCCCGGACUCUCUGCUAAGUUAAGGUCCAUUCCCUACCACGCCCACUGUCUUCUUUCUCGAGAUUCUUAGCUUCUGGUCUUUGUGUGAAACACGUGGCUCUCUCCAACUGAAGCCCAGAAAGCUACAUGGUGGGGGGAAGGUUGUGGGCCGUUAGCUCCUGAGCUGCUGCUCCAGAGCCAGAGUCUCUUAGCAUGGUCCACCUGCGCUCGAUGCAGUUUCAUGAUGAGAUCAAGGAGCAGGUCAUCUGGACUGGUUGGGAUGGUUUCAGAAGAAGCCUGAAUACUUCCUGAAGCAGUCCACCUCUGCUUUUGCAAGUCCUCCGGAACUUUGUACCUUGAGAGCUGGCUCAGAGGCAGCCGAGGAGCCGGCCUGGAGACUCCCCUUUCUCUAGAGAGCGGGACUACAGCUUGCUGGCUGAGCGCACAGAGCCUCAAGGCCGCUCUACCUGUGUGCCCUGCUCAUGGUCCGCCCCCAGCCACUCCCUCCCCGGGCCUGUGCUGAAUCAGCAGCAUCCCCCUUGCUCUCUUGGCAGCGUGCAGCCCGGCUAAGCCAAGUGUGGUUACGAUGAGUCGGUUCAUCUGGAAGCUCGCAUCCUGUACCCUUUUCCAAUGUGAUGUUCCAGCCAACUGGCACCCGAGAGUAAAGAGAAACCCUGGGAACCGAGGCUGCUGAGGACUUACAGCCUUGCACAAGCCAAGGGCGAGGGCAACAUUGAGGGGAAGGUCGCCCCGCUGCCAGGCCUUUCUCUCUACUCCAUCUUUGUUCCUGUCUAGCAGCACAUGGCCCUGGCUGGCAGUCAGCGAUCCGCUGCUGGUACUUGCUGGUGGCUUGGCUAUCCUCCAUCUAGCCAGGGCAUUUGGACCUUUUUUCUAAUUCUGCUUAUGAGCUCGGGAAGCGAGCCAGUAGUUUCCCUUGGAAAUUGCCUCUAUUGAUGUCAUUUUCCAUCCUAGUCCCCGGGGGAAUCUGUUUCUCUAUUUCCUCCACAUUGACACUACUCUUGCCCUUGGCUCAAAUACAGAAGCCUCAGGUAGCACCAAUGCCAUGGGGAGGGGAAGGGAUGGGGGGGCACAUGUAAGGGACGGAG